AGAGUUUGAUCCUGGCUCAGGACGAACGCUGGCGGCGUGCCUAACACAUGCAAGUUGAGCGACGAACCGGGGCUUGCCCCGGGGAAAGCAGCGAACGGGUGAGUAACACGUGGAUAACGUACCCCGAUAACCGGGACAACCCGAGGAAACUCGAGCUAAUACCGGAUGUGCUUACUCCACAUCAGUGGAAUAAGUAAAGGAAGCUUCGGCCUCCGUAUCGGGAGCGGUCCGCGGCCCAUUAGCUAGUUGGUGAGGUAAAGGCUCACCAAGGCAACGAUGGGUAGCUGGUCUGAGAGGACGAUCAGCCACACUGGGACUGAGACACGGCCCAGACUCCUACGGGAGGCAGCAGUGGGGAAUCUUGCGCAAUGCGCGAAAGCGUGACGCAGCAACGCCGCGUGGGGGAAGAAGGUUUUCGGAUUGUAAACCCCUUUCAGGAAGGACGAAGGUUCGGCAGUUAAUAGCUGACCGGACUGACGGUACUUCCACAAGAAGGUCCGGCUAACUACGUGCCAGCAGCCGCGGUAAUACGUAGGGACCUAGCGUUGUCCGGAAUCAUUGGGCGUAAAGCGCGCGUAGGCGGCCCGGUAAGUCCGUUGUAAAAGUCGAAGGCUCAACCUUCGAAAGCCGAUGGAUACUGCCGGGCUAGAGUACGGAAGAGGCGAGUAGAAUUCCUGGUGUAGCGGUGGAAUGCGCAGAUAUCAGGAGGAAUACCCAUAGCGAAGGCAGCUCGCUGGGACGUUACUGACGCUGAGGCGCGAAAGCGUGGGGAGCGAACAGGAUUAGAUACCCUAGUAGUCC
rnacentral:rRNA from 1 species